UGGGGAAUAUUGGACAAUGGGCGAAAGCCUGAUCCAGCAAUGCCGCGUGUGUGAAGAAGGUCUUCGGAUUGUAAAGCACUUUCGACGGGGACGAUGAUGACGGUACCCGUAGAAGAAGCCCCGGCUAACUUCGUCCCAG
rnacentral:rRNA from 1 species